UUCGGGCUCUCAUUUGUCCACGGACAUGAUAAUACCUUCUCUAUCUCCUUUGGCGAGGAUCAAAUAAGAAGCCUGAAGGAGUGUCCAGAGCCUGAUGUAAACCGGGUUAAUCUGCCUAACUGAAGACUUUUACUGAAGAAAGUCUAGCUAACAACAUAUAAGUAUUCAUGUCUCAAGGGACCCAGAGAAAUAUACAUUUUUGUUUCUGAAGAAGCGCAGCCCCUGUCUUUCUCUCCUGUAGAAGUAAAGGAAGCACCAGUUACCCUUCUGAUUUUAAUCAGAAAAUAUAAAUGUAAAAUAUGAAUUCGAUAAAAAUGUAAGCUUGGCUUUUACUAUUUCCUGAACA